rnacentral:misc_RNA from 1 species
UCCACCUUGUCGGCGGCAGUUUCACGUGAGUCCCCGGCCGAACCGCUGGUAACACGUGAUAAGGGUUGCGCUCGUUGCGGGACUUAACCCAACAUCUCACGACACGAGCUGACGACAGCCAUGCAACACCUGUCUUCCUAAUCUUGCUGUUUCCAGCAAGCAUGGAUCCUUUCGGUGAUGUCAAGCCCGGGUAAGGUUCUUCGCGUUGCCUCGAAUUAAACCGCAUACUCCACCGCUUGUGCGGGCCCCCGUCAAUUCCUUUGAGUUUCAACCUUGCGGUCGUACUCCCCAGGUGAGGCACUUAAUGCGUUAGCUACGGCACGGAAGGGGUCGAUACCUCCCACACCUAGUGCCCAACGUUUACGGCCAGGACUAC